rnacentral:rRNA from 1 species
UGCCAGCCGCCGCGGUAAUACGGAGGGGGCUAGCGUUGCUCGGAAUUACUGGGCGUAAAGCGCGCGUAGGCGGCGAAUCCAGUCAGGCGUGAAAGCCCAGGGCUUAACCCUGGAACUGCGCUUGAUACUGAUUUGCUAGAAUUCGAGAGAGGGUAGUGGAAUUUCCAGUGUAGAGGUGAAAUUCGUAGAUAUUGGAAAGAACACCGGUGGCGAAGGCGGCUAUCUGGCUCGAUAUUGACGCUGAGGUGCGAAAGCGUGGGGAGCGAACGGGAUUAGAUA